GCGUCAGGCAGUGUUAAAGAGGAUGAGCUCUGAUGAGAAGCAACACCGGUGCCUUCUGAGAACAACCCGUGGAUAAGAUUCCCAUGGAUGCCUCUUCCCACCUUGACUGUGACAGCGCUCGCUGGGGAUCUUCAAACUGACCAUGCACACAAUGCAUUUGCUAUCGCCGUGAUCCCUGGCAUCACAGAAUGACAGGAAUGAAAGGAGAUGCCAGUCCCUGGGCUCCAGAUGCCUCCGAUCAGCCUGGUCCACGUGCGCCAAUCCAGGAGUCGUCGCGACGGAUCACUGAGACUGCUCUUCCAUGUACAGCUCCUCCCCGAUCUACCUUUCACUGCCAACGAACUUCUCCCAACCUCAUGUCUAGAGGUCACCACAACUUCUACCUUGGUGAGUGAGGCCGGGGUCUCUCUUGUUUCUGCUGCCCUUAGAACUCCUGGCUAGCGGGCCCAUCAGCAAGUCUGUAAGCGUCACCUCUAAUCCAGGGUGUUUGGUUUGUUUUUGUUGUUAAGACUGGGUGUCUCUGGAAGUCAGGCUGUCUCAG